GUGGAUUAGAUACCCUGGUAGUCCACGCUGUAAACGAUGAAUCCUAGGUGUGGGAGGACUGACCCCUUCCGUGCCGCAGUUAACACAAUAAGUAUUCCACCUGGGGAGUACGGCCGCAAGGUUGAAACUCAAAGGAAUUGACGGGGGCCCGCACAAGCAGUGGAUUAUGUGGUUUAAUUCGAAGCAACGCGAAGAACCUUACCAGGGCUUGACAUCCUACUAACGAAGCAGAGAUGCAUUAGGUGCCCUUCGGGGAAAGUAGAGACAGGUGGUGCAUGGCUGUCGACAACU
rnacentral:rRNA from 1 species